rnacentral:tRNA from 1 species
UAGCUCAGUUGGUAGAGCAUGGUGUUUGCAAUGCCAGGGUCGUGGGUUCGAUUCCUAC